GACGAACGCUGGCGGCGGGCUUAACACAUGCAAGUCGAACGGAAAGGCCCUGCGUUUUUGGACUGCUGGGUGGCGGAAGGGGGGAGGAAGAGGUGAGUAACCUGACCUUCUCUUUCGGAUGGGUUCACGAAAGUGGGCCUAAGAUCGGAUAGCAGCUGCUGCUGCAGUGUGGGGAGUGGAUAGUUUAAGCUGGCGGGGCUGGACUCGCGGCUUAUCAGCUUGUUGGUUGGGUAGUGGCUUACCAAGGCUUUGACGGGUAGGCGGCCUGGGAGGGUGGACGGCCACAUUGGGCCUGAGAUACGGACCAGACUGCUACGGGAGGCAACAGUGGGGAAUAUUGCACAGUGAGAGCAAGUCUGAUGCAGAAGCGCUGCGUGCGGGAUGCCGGCUUUCGGGUUGUAAAACGCUUUAGCUUGUGACGACGCGUGAGUGACGGUAAUGGGUAAAGAAGCACCGGCUAACUACGUG
rnacentral:rRNA from 1 species